UUUGACCUCAAAUCAGGUAGGACUACCCGCUGAACUUAAGCAUAUCAAUAAGCGGAGAAAAGAAACUAAC
rnacentral:rRNA from 1 species